AUUAGCCAUGCAUGUCUCAGUACAAGCCGAAUUAAGGUGAAACCGCGAAAGGCUCAUUAAAUCAGUUAUGGUUCCUUAGAUCGUACCCACAUUUACUUGGAUAACUGUGGUAAUUCUAGAGCUAAUACAUGCAAACAGAGCUCCGACCGGAGACGGAAGGAGUGCUUUUAUUAGAUCAAAACCAAUCGGUGGCGGGUUCGCGCUCGUCAUCGUACAAUUUGGUGACUCUGAAUAACUUUUCGCUGAUCGCACGGUCUCGCACCGGCGACGCAUCUUUCAAAUGUCUGCCUUAUCAACUGUCGAUGGUAGGUUCUGCGCCUACCAUGGUUGUAACGGGUAACGGGGAAUCAGGGUUCGAUUCCGGAGAGGGAGCCUGAGAAACGGCUACCACAUCCAAGGAAGGCAGCAGGCGCGCAAAUUACCCACUCCCGGCACGGGGAGGUAGUGACGAAAAAUAACGAUACGGGACUCAUCCGAGGCCCCGUAAUCGGAAUGAGUACACUCUAAACCCUUUAACGAGGAUCAAUUGGAGGGCAAGUCUGGUGCCAGCAGCCGCGGUAAUUCCAGCUCCAAUAGCGUAUAUUAAAGUUGUUGCGGUUAAAAAGCUCGUAGUCGAAUCUGUGUCCCGCGUCGCCGGUUCAUCGUCCGCGGUGUUAACUGGCGUUCCGCGGGACGUCCUGCCGGUGGGCUUAGCUCGCAAGGGCGGCCCAACUCAAUCCCGCCGCGGUGCUCUUCAUUGAGUGUCGAGGUGGGCCGGCACGUUUACUUUGAACAAAUUAGAGUGCUUAAAGCAGGCUAAAACUUCGCCUGAAUACUGUGUGCAUGGAAUAAUGGAAUAGGACCUCGGUUCUAUUUUGUUGGUUUUCGGAACCCCGAGGUAAUGAUUAAUAGGAACGGAUGGGGGCAUUCGUAUUGCGACGUUAGAGGUGAAAUUCUUGGAUCGUCGCAAGACGGACAGAAGCGAAAGCAUUUGCCAAAAACGCUUUCAUUGAUCAAGAACGAAAGUUAGAGGUU
rnacentral:rRNA from 1 species